CUGUCUUUUCCUCUGGAGACGGCGAACUAAUUCGUAUCUUUACGCUGUGUGAGAAGGCUAUUGUAAUAAUUGACAAAUCAGGUCUUCGUUCACAAAUCAAUAUUAAUCCAGAGUCAUUUCACGAGUUUCCUCUAGCAUUAGCUGAGGCAACAGUCAUAACCUCGGACAAACGCGUGCUUGUUUCGCAAGUAUCAUCCUCUAAACCUUUUUAUGGUUCUAAAAGAGGGGAUCCGAGAUUAGUUCUACCGGCACCAGUAGAUUCCUGGUUGGAUGAAUACCAUUUUAGUACACCUGGAAAGUCUAAAGGCGGGAGUUUUGAACAUGGUCUUGUUCUUGUAGCCUAUAGUACGUCUAUUGGUACAACAACCUUAGACAACAUGAGUUUACAAUCAUCAUCAGUCUGGCAUACAAUCGCUGGUACAAAUUUGACGUAUACAGCUUUACCGUUAUCCGAAGGAGAUCAUACGUUGAAAUGCGUAGGAAUUUUGAAAUGUUGGGGAUAUGUUUUUGGAAUCGGUGUGUACGAGUAAUAUGGAACAUCUAUUGGCAGGAGUUUUACAAAGAAAAAGACACCUGAUGCAAACUUUAUAGGAAAAGUUAUCAUCGAAUUGGAUGUGAUAGACAAUCAAACACUUUUUACAACACCAGUUUUCACCGCCACUGCCAAGUCCCGCACUGAAUGCGGCAAGAUGUGUUUUUUGUAUUCAUGUUCGUUCCUCUCCUUUCGGUUUACAGAUGGACUAUGCUAUCUUUAUUCAGAGGAUCAAACAUGUAGUCUAACGGUAGAAUCAUCUGAUUUCCGACGCUAUCAUCUCAGAAAAUAGUGAAUUAUAUAUAAUUAGUAUUGUAAAAUUUUAAUCCCUUUUUCUUUCUACAAUAUACCAUCCUAAUAGACGUGUUAGAAACGUGGAUACUACUGUUGGCGCUCGUGUUUGAGUGGUGAUGAAUACACUCUGAUGUGGGGCUCAUCUCCAAAAUUAUAAAUACUCAAUCGAGCAUUGAUAACGAACCAAAAUUAAUCAUUGAAUGUAAAUUACGUGGUGCAUUUGUAAAUUGAAGAUAAUUAUAACCAUAUAUGUAAUAUUAAUUAUUUGAUUUAAGAAUGCAAGAUAUAAUAAAACAAUAAAGCACAUGUUUACCUUUUGUGGACAAAGGGAGGAUAUUUUUAUUUUUUUCUAAAAAACAACAAAUUCUUGCAUAAAGGGGGUAGGCUCGUUUGAUCUCCCUAUGGAGACAAAGUAUCGGAUUGCUUUCAUUCUGGUAAGAUUUAACAACAACAAAAAAGGAAUAAAAAACAAAAUCUAUUUUGAAAAACAAAAAUCCCCUUUUCCACAAGAUGAAUGCUUGAUGAUUUAUUUUAAAAUGCAAGUUAGGGAUUUCGUUUUCCACUUGCCUAAUAAACAUAAUAAGCAUUGUACGAUUGAAUAGCAUUUGUUUAAUGUCUCCCGAACAGACCAGCAUAAAUUCAACUGUUUCUUUGAGCUCGUUCCUUUGCUGUCACCAUAACGUUCCAAACGACUCUCUAAAGGUGUUAUUGCACUCUCAUUUCUUUUUUCCUCUGCGUUUACCGUCUUAAUUGAUGUCUAAUAUAUGGUGUAACAAUUGGUGGACAAUUGACCGUUGAUCUAUGAACUUGAAAAUGAAUGGGGCCCUGUAUUUUCGUAAUGGUAAAGUAUAUGCCAAGAUAAGUCAAAAUAUUCAAACUAUGACGGACUUUGAAGAGAGUAGAGUGUUAACAAGUGUUUUACGGACCGAAAGACUGACCGAGGAUAUAGUUGGAAGAUCCCCUCGAACUUUGUUGGCGAGAGGAUAAGACCGAAUGAAAGCGGAAAUAUAGAAAAAUGGGUUUAAAGGGUCGAUUAAAUUACAUUAAUGAAAGCCCGUUAUAGGGUAUAAGAUUGAA